rnacentral:rRNA from 1 species
AUUGAACGCUGGCGGCAGGCCUAACACAUGCAAGUCGAGCGGAUGAAGGGAGCUUUCUCCUGGAUUCAGCGGCGGACGGGUGAGUAAUGCCUAGGAAUCUGCCUGGCAUUGGGGGAUAACGUCCGGUAACGGGCGCUAAUACCGCAUACGUCCUGAGGGAGAAAGUGGGGGAUCUUCGGACCUCACGCUAUCAGAUGAGCCUAGGCCGGAUUAGCUAGUUGGUGGGGUAAAGGCCUACCAAGGCGACGAUCCGUAACUGACCUGAGAGGAUGAUCAGUCACACUGGAACUGAGACACGGUCCAGACUCCUACGGGAGGCAGCAGUGGGGAAUCUUGGACAAUGGGCGAAAGCCUGAUCCAGCCAUGCCGCGUGUGUGAAGAAGGUCUUCGGAUCGUAAAGCACUUUAAGUAGGGAGGAAGAGCAGUAAGUUAAUACAUUGCUGUUUUGACGGUACCAACAGAGUAAGCACCGGCUAACUACGUG